GACAGACAGAGGUGUCAGCAGAGAGCACUGUGGUCAGACAGAAAAGAAAUUCAAAAAGAAAAGAGCUUCCUGUGGAGCAUACAGCAGCUAAAAACAUUAAUCACAUAUAUGGUGAGCAACACUGCUGAAAAUGGCUAUUUCCAGUUGGAGGUCCUUCCCAAGUCUCAGGAUGAUCCCUUGUGGAUCCGUGUAUGCAGAGGACUUCUUUGUCUUCAGUGGACUAUGAUGACCAGUGGUUUAUUUUUUUUAUUAUUAAUAAAAUGCUUAAAGAGGGCUUGUUGUUGUUUUUUUUUAAAUUAAAUUUACUUUACUUUCUUAGUAGUGGAAGCCGUCUUAUAGACGGAAUCCAUUACUAAGUAAAAAACUGCUAGCGCUAACCCCAA